rnacentral:rRNA from 1 species
AUUGAACGCUGGCGGCAGGCCUAACACAUGCAAGUCGAACGGUAACAGGAAGCAGCUUGCUGCUUCGCUGACGAGUGGCGGACGGGUGAGUAAUGUCUGGGAAGCUGCCUGAUGGAGGGGGAUAACUACUGGAAACGGUAGCUAAUACCGCAUAAUGUCGCAAGACCAAAGAGGGGGACCUUCGGGCCUCUUGCCAUCGGAUGUGCCCAGAUGGGAUUAGCUUGUUGGUGGGGUAACGGCUCACCAAGGCGACGAUCCCUAGAUGGUCUGAGAGGAUGACCGGCCACACUGGAACUGAGACACGGUCCAGACUCCUACGGGAGGCAGCAGUGGGGAAUAUUGCACAAUGGGCGCAAGCCUGAUGCAGCCAUGCCGCGUGUAUGAAGAAGGCCUUCGGGUUGUAAAGUACUUUAAGCGGGGAGGAGGGGAGUAAAGUUAAUACCUUUGCUCAUUGACGUUACCCGCAGAAGAAGCACCGGCUAACUCCGUG